rnacentral:rRNA from 1 species
UACGUAGGGGGCGAGCGUUGUUCGGAAUUACUGGGCGUAAAGGGCGCGCAGGCUGUUAAUCAAGUCAGCUGUUAAAUCGUGCGGCUUAACCGUAUGUUGCAGUUGAAACUGUUUGACUGGAGUAUCGGAGAGGUAAGCGGAAUUCCCAGUGUAGCGGUGAAAUGCGUAGAUAUUGGGAAGAACAUCGGUGGCGAAGGCGGCUUACUGGCCGGUAACUGACGCUGAGGCGCGAAAGCCAGGGUAGC